GCUCACGUGACCGCAGGCACGUAAAAUGACCGUUUAGGGCGGUGGAAAGCGUGUCCAGGUAAAAGGUAACACAGGGAGGGAAUCACAUGUGGAAUCUGCGGUGGUCCAUGCGAUGCAGGUCCCCGAUGAAAGGAAGAGCCCAGGGCCCCGGGGGGAAGUUCGGCGGAGCUCGGUUCUUCCAAACAUCCGCGAACAGCAGCAGAACGAACAGAAAUAUCAAAACGGUCCCUCCGCCCAUCCACUCCAAGCCGAGCGCGUUGCGCACGGCCUCCAUCCGGAUGGCUCGAC